UCAAUAGCCUAACGGCUGAACCAGCAACUUGGAAGAAUGGAAUAGCGAAAGCUAAUUGUAGAAAUACAAUAUUAACAAAGUUAAAUAAAGUUCUGGAUAGAAUUAUGAUAAUGACAAAUUCUGUCUAUAUGUCUUGACCAAGUCACGUGCCAGCAGUCGCGGUAAUACGUGGAAGACUAGUGUUAUUCAUAAUUAAAAGGUUUAAAGGGUACGUAGACGGUUAAUUAAGCCUAAAAGGAACUGAUUAUCUAGAGUUUAAUGUGAAGAGAGUAGUACGGUGAGUGUAGAGAUAAAAUUCAAUGAUACCACCUAGAAACAGGUAACGGCGAAAGCAACCUUUUAUGUAAAAACUGACGUUGAGGGACGAAGGCUUAAUAAAGUAACAGGAUUAGAUACCCUAGUAUUGUGAGCAGACAAUGAUGAAUGCCAUAUAUAAGAUCUAUAGUAUUUUGUAUAUAAAUGAAAGUGCAAGCAUUCCACCUCAAGAGUAAUAUGGCAACAUAGGAACUGAAAUCAUUAGACCGUUUCUGAAACCAGCAGUGAAGUAUGUUGUUUAAUUUGAUAAUCCACGUAAAACCUUACCACGACUUGAAUAUUUAUAACAUUGUUAUAAUUACAGGCGUUGCACGGCUGUCUCCAGUUAAUGUCGUGAGAUCUUGGUUAGUUCCAUUAAAUUAACGUAAACCCUUGCUUUAUUUAUUAUAGAGUAGUUCGCUAUUAUAUUGGUAAUGAUAUAAGGGAUUAAGACAAGUCACCAUGGCCCUAAUGUAGUGGGCUUAA
rnacentral:rRNA from 1 species